GACGAACGCUGGCGGCGUGCUUAACACAUGCAAGUCGAACGGAAAGGCCUGCUUUCCCUUGUGGAUUGCGGGUACUCGAGUGGCGAACGGGUGAGUAACACGUGAGUGAUCUGCCCCCAACUUGGGUAUAAGCCUGGGAAACUGGGUCUAAUUCCCGAUAGGACUGCAGGGUGGUGCCUGUGGUGGAAAACGAUUUUCUAGUGGUUGGGGAUGAGCUCGCGGCCUAUCAGCUUGUUGGUGGGGUAAUGGCCUACCAAGGCGGCGACGGGUAGCCGGCCUGAGAGGGUGGACGGCCACAUUGGGACUGAGAUACGGCCCAGACUCCGACGGGAGGCAGCAGUGGGGAAUAUUGCACAAUGGGCGGAAGCCUGAUGCAGCGACGCCGCGUGGGGGAUGACGGCCUUCGGGUUGUAAACUCCUUUCGACCGCGAGGAAGCCACCUGGUUGGAAGGGUGGUGACGGUAGUGGUAGAAGAAGCACCGGCUAACUACGU
rnacentral:rRNA from 1 species